CCGUUCCCUCUCUGUUUGCUGGAGACGUUUAUUAAGCUCCACUAUAUCUCCCUUUAGUGAUGCCAGGGCUGCCGAAUGGAGCUGUGGUGACAGAAAGGAAGAGAUUAGAGUACUGAAGCAGAGAUGCGUUUCCUUCCCUUCAUUCCCACAAGUAGCAUAACCGCAUUAAAAACCUAUCAUCCCAAAAGCAACCCUUUUGAGAAUGAAGGCCGAUGGAUGGAACUAUUUUUAAGAUCUGUUCAACACACUGGUCCCAGCAACACCUGAAACUUCCUUCGAAACCUUGAAAGCUUCCGUUCUAGGUGGAGCUCUGACCAUCCCCUGGCUGAAUUCCAAACUUCAUUUGGGUGAACAACUGGAAUCAGAACAAACCAUCCCCUUUCUAGGCUUUCUGUAGCCUCUGCCAAGAAGGAUUUAAAACUCCAUGAACUGAGCCAGAUGGAGACAGAGAGUACUUACUUCCAUCACAGACUUGGAAGAGGGCUCCAGGAUGGGUCACUGCUCUUGAGGAGAGCAGUGGGCUUGGAGUGAUAAUACCUUCUAGCCUACCAGCUCUCCAAACUUCCAGGAAGAACGGUCAGAUGCCCACUGGGGGCAAGUCCCUUCACUUCUUUGGAUGGAAGGUGCCUAUCUAUGAGGGAAACCAAAAUUACGUGGCUAUACAAGCAUUUUUGGAAAGAAACAGACAAAAUAAAGACACUGCAAUAAGCUGCCUGCACCAACUUAAAUUUCAAGGGCUGCUGACGGAUGGGCCAUUUACCGCUUGCUGGUACAUCUAAUCCAAAGCACCAGAAGAGGAGAGAGAAGACACAUUUCAAAUCUGCUUCGUGUUCCCUCUCUGAUGUGCCCCGCUGACUUCUUCAGAGAACAGUGUGUUUAGAUAGAAAGAAGGAAAGGCUUUUAGGUCUGAAUCUUCUCUCCUUUCCAAAUCACUCUAACCCAGCCAACAGUAGUCCUAACCCAGAUUAAUUUGCUCCCAGAAAAGGAAGAAAAUAGGAGACUUGACAGAAAGAAAACAACAGGGAAAAACAGUUUAGUGGUUAAGAACCUAGGCUUUGUCACAAAGCAAAAACAAAAUACCCUAGACUUGAGUAUUAGUUCAGCCUUGGGUAACUCGUUUAACUUUUCUAAGCCUCAGUCUACUCAUCUUUAAAAUGGAAACAAUGCCCACUCAUUCUGAGUUGAGAAGAUUAGAUGAAAUACUGCAGGCAAAUCACUUAACCACAACAUCAGCUGGCAGAGUGUGAGCCACCGUGGUACAGUGAUGGUUGUGGAAUUACUCUCCCGGAAAACCUUUCCAGACAGGGGCGAGUCUCAUCUCUCCGGGAUAAUGUGGGUGCAGCCCUGCCUUGGAGUUUGGUCAGCAGCCUCUCAAGAUUCAUUCCAGCCUGAUGAUUCUCUCAUUUUACACCAAUAGAUGCACUGGGGCAAAAAAGGCAUCCAACAGACAUAAUCAGUGGAUGUAAAGAUUGUGCUGACUAAGCAAACAGCUUUAAAAGAAGCCCUCUGUGCCUCUCCUUCCCCAAUUCCUAACCCUGGACCAGCCUAAAUGCCUUUCUUAAAGAAAUCUUGAAAAUUCCACCAACCCAGACUCCCUGUGCUCUCUGUCCUAUGAAGAAAGAAGAAACGCCGAUUUGCAUUGCUCUUGCUGCUUAUGGAAAGACCUCCAGCACUCCACUCAGAUAUGACAGCUACCUACAUUUUCUUCAGUGUGGUUUUCUUCUGUGCAGUCAUUUUUUAAAGCUUUUAUUCAUCUGAAAUUCAAUGGCAUACAUGAAUUAAAAAUCAACUUUGUUCUUUUCAUGUAAUAGUUGUCCUAGUACUACUGAAUAAUUAUAGCUUCAUCUUCUCUAUGUUACUCUAAAUGACAGUAUUAUAAUGUUUAAUGUUGCAUAGUAUAUCUCUCCCCUUUGUUUUUUUAAAAAUAAUAUUUUAGUUAUUUGUUUGUUCUUUCAGAUAAACAUAAGGUCACUGUGAAGAUUUUUUUUUGAAAUCCCGUAAGGUUUUGGAUCACAGCACCACUAAAGUUCUAUUCUGCCCCAAUCAAUGUAAUCAUGUGCAUGACUGAAUUCCAUCUAAUAACAUGAGCAUUCCAUUUAUCAAAUUGUAUUUUUCUUUGCAGAGUCUCUCUUUAACCUAGACAUAAAUUCCCUGAGGACAAACUUUAUUUCCAUUUUGUUGCUCAGUAUAUUCUAUUCCUAGUAGCUAGUAGAGUGUACUAGCAGUUACUGAAUGAAUGAAAUCAAAGUGACCUAGAACAUACGUCUCAAAAUCUUAUUUAACAUUUCAAACCCAAAAUAGCUAAAACAGCACCGUAACCCUGAAUACACUUGAUGUGUGUAACUCAGCAAAGUUCUAAGUACAGGGAUUUACAGCCUCCCACACCAUUCUGAUAAAUGCAUAACCAACUCCAAAGACAGAUACCUUUCUAAAUUACUGCAACAGCAAUGCAAAGGAGAAAUGAGCAUGGAGGGUAACACUGGGUAGAUCAAGAUGAACCAACAUCUAAAGAACUGGAACUCAUGCUUGAGAACGACAGAAACGUGUCUAAAGUAAGAUAUAUCACUGCCACGGUGAAGUAAAAGAGUCAGAAAACUGCUUCAAAAAGUCCUAGACCCAAUGUUAAGAGAGAUUUAAAACACUGAGAGAGCAAAGGCCCCAGGUAGAUGUGUGUAGACAGAGAAAUAUCCCAGGUAAAAAAAGACCUGAAUUAAUGUU